rnacentral:misc_RNA from 3 species
AACGCACAUUGCGCCCGCCAGCAUUCUGGCGGGCAUGCCUGUUCGAGCGUCAUUUCAACCCCUCAGGCCCUGGUGCCUGGCGUCGGGGCUCUCCCUCGCGGGAGGCCCUCAGAGACAGUGGCGGACCCGCCGCGGCUCCGAGCGCAGUAGUAAAAUUCUCGCUUAGGAUUGUCGCGGUGGAGAUUAACCGGCCGUAAAAAUAGGUCCUCACGGACCGACCCAAACAAGGUUGACCUCGGAUCAGGUAGGAAUACCCGCUGAACUUAA